rnacentral:rRNA from 1 species
GACGAACGCUGGCGGCGGCGCCUAACACAUGCAAGUCGAACGGAGCUUGCUUGGUCAGAUCCUUUCGGGGUGACGACUUGUAAGCUUAGUGGCGAACGGGUGAGUAACACGUGAGUAACCUGCCCCAGAGUGGGGGACAACAGUUGGAAACGACUGCUAAUACCGCAUAAAACUAUCGGGGGGCAUCCCUUGGUAGUCAAAGAUUUAUUGCUGAAAGAUGGGCUCGCGUCUGAUUAGCUGGAUGGCGGGGUAACGGCCCACCAUGGCGACGAUCAGUAGCCGGACUGAGAGGUUGAACGGCCACAUUGGGACUGAGAUACGGCCCAG